GACGAACGCUGGCGGCGUGCUUAACACAUGCAAGUCGAGCGGUAAGGCCCUUUCGGGGUACGACGAGCGGCGAACGGGUGAGUAACACGUGGGUGACCUCGCCCUCAGCUCUGGGAGUAAGCCUCGGGGAAACCGGGGUACGUUAAUACUGGAUAUGACUCCCAUGACGCAUGUUGUGGGGUGGAAAGCCUUGUGCGGCUGAGGAUGGGCCCGCGGCCUAUCAGCUUGUUGGUGGGGUGANGGCCUACCAAGGCGACGACGGGUAGCCGGCCUGAGAGGGCGACCGGCCACACUGGGACUGAGAC
rnacentral:rRNA from 1 species